rnacentral:rRNA from 1 species
UGUGCUUACAAGUAGUCAGAGCCCGUUAAUGGGUGAUGGCGUGCCUUUUGUAGAAUGAACCGGCGAGUUACGAUUUGAUGCAAGGUUAAGCAGUAAAUGUGGAGCCGUAGCGAAAGCGAGUCUGAAUAGGGCGUUUAGUAUUUGGUCGUAGACCCGAAACCAGGUGAUCUACCCUUGGUCAGGUUGAAGUUCAGGUAACACUGAAUGGAGGACCGAACCGACUUACGUUGAAAAGUGAGCGGAUGAACUGAGGGUAGCGGAGAAAUUCCAAUCGAACCUGGAGAUAGCUGGUUCUCUCCGAAAUAGCUUUAGGGCUAGCCUCAAGUGAUGAUUAUUGGAGGUAGAGCACUGUUUGGACGAGGGGCCCCUCUCGGGUUACCGAAUUCAGACAAACUCCGAAUGCCAAUUAAUUUAACUUGGGAGUCAGAACAUGGGUGAUAAGGUCCGUGUUCGAAAGGGAAACAGCCCAGACCACCAGCUAAGGUCCCAAAAUAUAUGUUAAGUGGAAAAGGAUGUGGCGUUGCCCAGACAACUAGGAUGUUGGCUUAGAAGCAGCCAUCAUUUAAAGAGUGCGUAAUAGCUCACUAGUCGAGUGACACUGCGCCGAAAAUGUACCGGGGCUAAACAUAUUACCGAAGCUGUGGAUUGUCCUUUGGACAAUGGUAGGAGAGCGUUCUAAGGGCGUUGAAGCAUGAUCGUAAGGACAUGUGGAGCGCUUAGAAGUGAGAAUGCCGGUGUGAGUAGCGAAAGACGGGUGAGAAUCCCGUCCACCGAUUGACUAAGGUUUCCAGAGGAAGGCUCGUCCGCUCUGGGUUAGUCGGGUCCUAAGCUGAGGCCGACAGGCGUAGGCGAUGGAUAACAGGUUGAUAUUCCUGUACCAC